CAGCACCUCAAGUGGUCAGGAUGAUUAUUGGGCCUAAAGCAUCCGUAGCCGGCACUGUAAGUUUUCGGUUAAAUCUGUACGCUCAACGUACAGGCUGCCGGGAAUACUGCAGCGCUAGGGAGUGGGAGAGGUAGACGGUACUCGGUAGGAAGGGGUAAAAUCCUUUGAUCUAUUGAUGACCACCUGUGGCGAAGGCGGUCUACCAGAACACGUCCGACGGUGAGGGAUGAAAGCUGGGGGAGCAAACCGGAUUAGAUACCCGAGUAGUCC
rnacentral:rRNA from 1 species